GUAUCCUGGAGCUUUUAAACAUGUCUUAGCAUUAUUAAAUGUGUAUUAAUACCUUAUUUUGUUACUGUGAGGCGGUUUAAACAUGUGUGUCCCCUCUACGUGACUCAGAAAGAAGUCUGAGAGAGCAAGGUGGAUCCUAAUGGUGGGUUUCUCCAAACUGCAGCCAUCUUAAAGAUUCUCUGUACAACUUGUUCAGGCUGCUUUCUGGACCAUCAGUCUCUGUCAGUCCAUGAAGGCUGAAACUCUUAUCUCUGUGAAAGCUGGAGUGCAGGUUGAAGCAUCAUGUGUCUUCCAACGGAGCUACUUGACAGUUGACAUUUUCUGCUUUUACUUCUACUCCAGCUGCUAAUUGAAUAUUUACAAUACUUCAAUCAAGAGGAAAAGAGAAACAGAUUAGAAAAAUUUUCAAUCUGUCAAGCAAACCAUACACAUAAUGAAACAUCCACUCAUUAAACACAGAGAACUUUUAUAGCUUUAAUAAUAAGUGUUAUAAAGGGCACAAAGGUAUUAUUAAUUCUGAAGGAAUGCAGGACUGGAAAAACAAUAAGUCAUUUUGACAGUUGCUAUGAAGACUAUUACCAAAUGUUAUGUUUACUUGACUAGGUUCAAUUUAUAAAACAAGACCCCUAAAAAAUCUACAGCCCAAUCAAUGGAGAUGCCCUGUUACAAACAACAGCUAAUGGAGUGAAGUUCUGAUAUAUUGAUUAAUGAUUGAAUUGUGAUUGUGGAUUUUACAAAAUUAAGAUAAUUAGUAAUGUGGCCGGCUUCUGUACAUUAAAUGAAACAUUGUGGCAAUGAAUUAAAAUGAUAAAGAUUUAACACUAUAAAUGCUCUGUUUCUAAGUUAAGGAAGUGAAUACAUCUGAAUGUGCGAUUACCUUUCUAAAAGGAAUUCACAAAGGUGUUUAUUAUGCAAAUAUAGAUACAGGAGCUUUUGUUCCCAUGCUGUAACCACCGAUUAAAUUCCUCCAUACAUCUCUCAAGAAAAUUAAAUUUGGGAGACAUUAGAAAUUCUCUUCUGGUUUUGAGUGAGCUGGUUGCAAUCCUGAACAUAAUCAAGCAAGCUGACAGUAUGUAUGAUUAUAUAUAAUACCACUCUGCAGGAGACAGCUCCAAUAUUGUAUCUGCACCCCUCCAUUCAUUAUUGGCAAACAUGUGCCUGGAACUCAUUGCAAUGUUACAAUUGGCAUUUUGAAAUACUGUGAUUUCUUUUUCUUGCAGUCAGGACAUGGAUUCCCUAUAGGAUUUAUGUACACUGCAUUGUAUUAUUCAGUACAUGUUCAUGACUUCCACUGGUACUAGGAAAAGCUAUGUGUAUACAUUCAGAGUAGAAUAUAUCCCAUAGUGGAUUUCAGAAAAUAUAACAUACAGUUACUUUAAAACAUGAGGUUAACAAAAUAGAAACUGAAAGACAAGGAAGGGAAAACAAGCAAUUUAAAAACCAUUCACCCAGUAGAUUUGAUCCUGCUCCCAUUGUCUCUGUAGUAAAUCAUGAGUUACUUUACAAAAGUCAAUGCAAGUUGGCAUAAAGCUGGCAGGAAAUCAAACUUGAGUCUAUCCUGCUUAAAAACCUGAAAUAUGUUCUUCAUUUUAAAGCAGCUACUGCUCUGAAACCUGAAAACUGAUAGAUGCAUUCAAACCAUUCAUUAUGUCACAAAAUAUCCUUUAUAUGACCAUAACCGAGUGUGGCAAUAAUAAUACCACAAUAGUCUGUGGCAAAGUUAGAAAGGGAUGACUGGUGCUUAGGGCACCAUAAUGGGACUCACAAGCUCAGUUUCCAGUUCUAUCAAAAUAGUACCAGCACGUUGCUUUCCCUGUCAGAGGCUUUGUCUCCAUGAACCUAAAACGAAGAUACUGAUCCUGUUAACAGCUUUGAUACCUAGUGACAAAGAGCAGAGGGAUUUAUAUCAAUAGAGUUUGCCAGUUAUAUCAGUUGGACAGGGAUACAACCGGUGGAGCAGAGCCAGCUCCCUGAGAAGCACAGGCUUCCAGUAAGGCAGAAAAUCUCUCUGGAUCCCAAGGCACUCACGAUCACCACAUCUGCUGCUUAUGCCUGUUCAGAGGAUGUUUUCCUCUGUCUAAGAAAUGGAAUAAAACCUGGUUUACUAAUAGUACCUGCUCCCUCACCCUCAUUCACCAGAGGAGGGGUUAAGAAAAUAUGUUCACCUGAUCCUCCGCAGGCAACUGCAAGCUAUCUUUGGUGCUGCACGGAGCAGAUGAGGUCCGGCCACUUCCAAAAGUGAAUCUGAGGAAAGAAGAUUAGUGCUGCCCUCAGCCAGAUCGAAUAAACCUUUGUCAGGGCUAUUUCAGAUGCAGCUAACACCCAGUCAGGGCAGAAAACCAUGCGGACACCUUCAGAGCAGAGGGUGUUGAUCUCCUCAGAGAUCAGAACGUGCCACUGCACCUGGCCUACGUUGGGCUGCUCUGAGGAGAAAGUCCUGGGGUUUGGGAGGCCUCUUGAACAAAAGGUCAAAUCUGGAAACCUUCUGGGCUUCCAGAUGUUUCCAGAAGAUUGUUGAAUAAAGAUGAUGAAAAAUAAAAUAAAUAAAAGGCUAUGAAAUGAAAUCUAAAAGAAAUCUCUGCACACAGCGCCUGUCAGAAAAGGUCGUCUGUUUUACAAGGCAGGAGAUGCAAAACAAGAGUGUCUGUAACUAUUUGUAAAUAGCCUCAAAUUUGUGAAGCUGAUUCAACAUGAGGAAAAAAUAACCCUGGAAAAGAGUUGCAAAACACUGUAAGUGGUUUAUUUUGACAUUUUAAAAACUUUUUAAAGUGUUCUGCUUAAAAAAUCAUCUAAAUUUACAUCAGAACUAUUUGCAAGUAAACGAAAGACAUCAGAGAGGAAUAAAACAUUUCAUUUGGUUUCAAACAAAAUGUUUAUUUUGAUCCAAAAUAUUGUCCUAAUUUCAGCCAGAGAACUGGAAAAUAUGCAAUUAUUUUCAUAGCUCUCACUGUAACAUCAUUUUAAAAAUAUCUUUUCUGGCCCAUUUCUCAUAUUUUCUGUAAAAAGCACUCAAGAUUUUUCCCCUAGUGAACUGUGAGUUUUUAAUUUUGUCAUAAGCUGCGAUGCAGUUUUUAAAAUAUUGAAUUCAGUGAUUAGUUGCCAUCAUUAGUAACAGUAGUAUUAUUAUUACUAUGAUGUAGGGUUUUUCCGGUGUAACAAUGUCACUUGCUCUUCACUGUUCUCCUUCCUCUUCUGUUUUCUAAAACUUGAUAGUUAUUUAAAUCAUACUCCCUUUCACUUUAAUAUUUAAGGUAGAAAUGACUGAAAGUUAGCAACAUCAAUGAAAUUUUCCAGUUGUUCAUUUUGGGGAAAAAUUUUCAAAAUAUUCAUUGGAAACUUAGAAAACUAUUAAAAGCUGUAAGUAACAAUUGAAAAGGAAACGCCUGAAAUUCCUAAGAACUUUUCCAGUUUUGUUUUGUUUUCUCUAUUUUAACCCUAGUUAUCUUUUUCUCCUGCUUCCUUCUUUCUAACACUAUUUUUUCUUCCUUCUCUUUCCUUGUAGGUCUGAAUCAGAAUGGUCUAUCUGCAAUUUAGAUUUACUGGAAUAGAGGUAAAAAAGAAUAAGAGCAACUUUUCACUGUCAGUUUUGUACAAAGGAGUCAGUGCAAACGAAAGCCAAGUUCUUUCCCAUUUAUUUCUUAUUCUUUUUUAUCUCUAUUCACUUUCUGUCUUUUCAUCCUUUCUAUUAUUCUUCCUUCAUACUUUUUUCUUCCCUCUAUCCCUGCUUUUAGUUUUCUUAACCAUCCCUCACACAUCCACAUCUCUACUUAUUAUCCAGGGACCUAUUCAGCCACAGAAGUCCUGACUGUUAAGUGUGAGAAAGUGAAAGAGAGAGACAGUUACAACGAAUGUGAGAGUAUGACGACAGAUGAUUUUCAAUGUUCGUUGUUUUGUUGUUGUUGUUGUUGUUUUUGUGUUUUGUGGUUUGUUUUUUACCUGAAAUGUUUCAAUAUUUUCAGCCAAAAAUGUUCCCAUCCUUUCAAUAGGUUAAAAAAUAACCCCUGAAGUGUUUGUGUUGGUGGUAUAUAUUACUAUUGUUACAGAAGUCAGCCAGAGGGAGGAAAUGACCUUUAAAAUGAGAAGAAGAAAAUUCUCAUUCAUUUCUGACUCUGCCCUGCUUUCCAUUUGCUCUGUGUUUUCUCAUUUUCUUCUUACUUUUACAUCCUUCUCUUCUGCCAGUUCCCCUACACUUUUCAUUUUAAUUUUUGGUGGUUAAUGAAUGUAAGGCUUAUAAUGCACUUGAAAUUCAGUUUCUUAAGCUAAGUUGAAUUCAGAGUGUAAGAAUGAAGGUGGGAUGCUCUAUAUCUACCUCAACUCCACAAAGCCAUGGGAGAAAUUAAAGCAGGAGAGGGAGUGUGGGAAACAUUUCAGCACAGUUACCCCCUAGGCUGCAGUUUCACAUGAGUGCAUUUCUUAAGCACAUCCAUCACUGCACCCACAAACUGAUCUCUCAGCAUUUCAGGGUGCUGCUCUGCAGCACCACUAUGUCCCUGGGGUUACACUUAAGGGUUUUCUUGAUGUUGCCCUUUUUGCCGCCUUUUCAGGAGGCAAAGCCAGAGCUGUCGUAUGUCUGCUCCUCUAGGACUAACCCUGUCUGGACACCAGUGGAGCAGACAGAAGAGUGCUUUGCACUGCCUUGUCUUCAUGUGAGAUAGGGAGGAGCAUCACCCAAGGGUUACUGAGGAAGCCUGUCUCUAAUCAGACCUGCACAUAGAUCCACAUAAUUUCAAUUCCCAAGUCAAGUUUAUACUUUGGGAAGAGGCAUAUAUACAUGCAAACUCCCUGUGUACUGCAGCACCAAAAAAUGUAGAUGGGAGAUACAGUACAACAGUAUCUGUGUUGUGAACCAAAUCAAGAAGUGCCGAAAUAUCUCUUACAAAUACACUUCUUUGGUAACAGAAUCUGCAGAAUGGAUUCUUUGAAAAAAGAUUCAGACAUAUGCUCCCGCCUCUGCUAAGUGCCCUGAGAAACAAAGCUUCAGAUGUCAGCAGAAAGUUAAUAUAUAGAGUUGGGAAACCUUAGAGGAAGGUUGUAGAACAAAUUCCUUAAGGAGUUUGACCUUAUAUGAGCUUGUAUAAUGCUGAAGGAGGAAAAUGAAAAAAAUCAAGGGAAAGACAUUGAAACAGCUAAUAUCUGUCCAAAAUGAAAGAGAAAAAUCAAUAUUCUAGAUUUAUUUAGUGUUUUUGCUUGAAGUAGGUUUCAAGAAAGGGAAUCUUCACUUUAUCUCUAGAUCUCCUCAUAUGAACACAAAAGAGGGAGGCUGGGAGAGAAAUAUAUGCCUUUCUUUUAGGUGUUUGUUGCUGUUGUUUUUGUUUGGUGUGUUUUGUUUUGUUUUGUUUUGUUUUGUUUUGUUUUGUUUUGUUUUGUUUUGUUUUGUUUUGUUUUUAAUGAUCUAGUGCAUGGCUACCUUGCAGGGGCCAUGAUGAAGAAAUUAGAACACUGGCCAUAUGAAUCCUGGAACUUCACAUUCCAUAGCUGUUGCUCAAAAUGAUCUAACGAAUUGAAAAAACCCAUCUUCAAAAGCUGAUUUUAAAAUGCCCUGCUUAACACUGAAGUCUGGAUUCUUCAGAUCUGUCUCUUUCAUGGCUUCAGUUUCGCACUUACAUGGGCUGACACUGCACAGCCAUGGGCUCAGCCCAGGUUUAGCCUGGAUUGACCACAGAAGUCUGAAGAAUGUCAUUUUCCUUGCAGUUUUAUAUAGUUAGAUACAGAUGCUCUGUGUCUUCUCUGAACUCCUUGCAGUCAGAUGAGAGUCAGAUUUGGAUUUUGUUUGUUUGUUUGUUUUCAAGAACUUACCAAGUCAGACUGUUCCCUGAAAUGUAUUUGUCCUGUACAUGAAAGAAAGUGGGGAGAGGAGGAACUGGUUGACAUAUUCUGAACUACUAUAUAUUGCAGAACAGGCUUCCAGUUGUCAGCAUCUACACCCUGUAGAAGUAUGGUUUCAAUUUUACUUUUGAAAUCUGAGUCGAGCAAUGUUGCCAACACAUAUUUUUCCCUGUCAAAACAUUUCACUUAUUCCUGAGUCUGUAGACAGCUUUUAGGUUACAUCUUUUCCCCAAUCUUAUUGAAACAGGAUCUUCAUUUCUUUUGAAAUCAUUUUUCAUUAGUGUGGGAGCAAAAAGUAGAUACUAGAGCUGAUAAGAGGCAGCACCUGGCUUAGAGAUGUUCCAUCAGCUCUUAGUUUCUGUGUGAUCAUCUCUGAUAAUUGGAAGUUGAAAACCAAAGCAGCAGUCACAUUCAAAUCAGGAUAGGUGAAAACAUUAUCUUCCUUCCUCCACUAUGCCUUUAACGCUGUCUGUGCUCUCUCUUGUUCCACUGAGCUGAUAGAACAUACAAAAAGCAGACUUAAGGGUUUACAUACUGCCUCAGCCAAUUUUUUUGAGUAAUUUGGUCAUGAUUAUGAUUCGCUCACCGAUUAAUUAGGCAUAAAUUAGCUUAAAAGCCUUAUAGUUUUUCUGUUUGUGAAUGAUUUGUAAAUUUAUUCCUGUGUUUGUAGUUGCCUUUAUUAUUUUCAAAUAUAUAUGCACAUUUCAGUCUAGAGGAUUCAUGCAAAGAAUUGCUUCAGCUAUUUGCUGUUCACUAGCUAUUGUUGAUGGCAUGUGGCAAAGUCAUAUGAACCACAUUGUAUGACUCCUGAUUCCUAACUGGAUGUCUGGCAAGGUAAUGAAUAAUAACUGGAUACUAACAGUGCAAUUUCAUUUAAAAAAAAAAAAAAGAAAUAAA